rnacentral:rRNA from 1 species
CAGCAGCCACGGGAAUACGUAGGGUGCAAGCGUUAAUCGGAAUUACUGGGCGUAAAGCGUGCGCAGGCGGUUAUAUAAGACAGAUGUGAAAUCCCCGGGCUCAACCUGGGAACUGCAUUUGUGACUGUAUAGCUAGAGUACGGCAGAGGGGGAUGGAAUUCCGCGUGUAGCAGUGAAAUGCGUAGAUAUGCGGAGGAACACCGAUGGCGAAGGCAAUCCCCUGGGCCUGUACUGACGCUCAUGCACGAAAGCGUGGGGAGCAAACAGGAUUAGAUACCCGUGUAGUCCCUGUCUCUUAUAC